rnacentral:rRNA from 1 species
AAAUAAAAAUUAUUAGUACUAUAUUAGCUUUAUUUUUAUUAAAACAUUAUUAAAUUUAGUAAAGGUGAUUAAAAAUUGUUUUACUACUCAAAAAAAGUACUGUAAAGGAACUUUAUUAACUAUUUAAAAGAAGGAAUUAAAUUCUGUACCUUUUGUAUCAUGGUUUAACUAGAUUAAAUUUCAAAUGAAGGCACUCGAAAUCUAAUGAGCUAUUUUUAACCCUUGUUGUAGCAUCAGAAGACCAAUUGUAGCAAAAAUUUUCUUAGAGUUAAAAAUAGAAAUGAAAUUUUAUUCGCAUUAGAUGAUAGCUAGUUCUUCUUAAAGGCAUAUUAGUGCUCUAAAUUGAUUUUAUUUAGUAAUUACAGUGCUAAAUUUUAGUUCAAUUAGGUUAUGUUUUUGAGGAUAAGCUCGAAAACAUCAGUUAAAUCUUUACAUAUCAUUUAUAAUUAAAUUUAAGCUUGAAAAUAGCUAUAAUAGACUAGAUUUUGUUAUAAUUUCAUUAUCAAAGAAAUAAUAGAAUUAAUCUGUUUAAUAAAACAUGAAGAAAUCUCAGAAACUAAAUAGAGUUGCAUUUAUGUUAAAAUGAGUAUUGAAUAUAUAUUGUUUCAAUUAAAGUUCUAUAAUUUUAAAACUUAAUUGUAAUUUCUUAGCUAAAAUCAUAAAAAGGAACUCGGCAAAAAAUAUUCUGCCUGUUUAUCAAAAACAUGGCUUCAUGAAUUACUUAAGAUAUGAAGUCGGACCUGCCCAGUGAAGUUUUUUAACGGCCGCGGUACUCUGACCGUGCAAAGGUAGCAUAAUCAUUUGCCUUAUAAUUAAAGGCUGGAAUGAAUGGUUUGACAAGAAUAUAACUGUCUCUUUAUGACUUAAUAGAAUUUUAUUUUAGGAUGAAAAAGUCCUAAUUGAAUUAAAAGACAAGAAGACCCUAUCGAGCUUGAAAGAAAUUAGCAAAAAUAUAUUAAUUAUACCUAAAAAAUUGGUUGCUAAAAAUUUUAGUUGGGGCAACUUAGGAGCAAAAAAAGCCUCCUCUAAAAACUAUUAAACAUACUAGUAUUGAUCCAAAAUUUUUGAUUAAAGAAAAUAGUUACCGUAGGGAUAACAGCAUUAUCUUUUUUGAGAGCUCUUAUCGAAAAAAAGGUUUGUGACCUCGAUGUUGGACCAGAAUGUCCUAAAGAUGCAGAAGUCUUUAAGGGUUGGUCUGUUCGACCAUUAAAAUUCUACGUGAUCUGAGUUCAGACCGGCGUGAGCCAGGUCAGUUUCUAUCUUUAAUUUCUGAAGUGUACUUAGUACGAAAGGACCAGCGCACUAUAAAAAUUAUAAUACUAAUGAAGAAAUAUAACACAAAUAUAAAC